CACCUUUCAAAUUGUUACACACAUAAACUUUCUUAUAUUGUAUCAUUCAAUUUGUGAAUCCAAAAAAUAAUAAAAAAUAAAAACGAUCGCUUGAAAUGCU